rnacentral:rRNA from 1 species
AACGAACGCUGGCGGUAGGCCUAACACAUGCAAGUCGAACGCUGUAGCAAUACAGAGUGGCAGACGGGUGAGUAACACGUGGGAACGUACCUUUCGGUUCGGAAUAACUCAGGGAAACUUGAGCUAAUACCGGAUACGUGCGAGAGCAGAAAGAUUUAUCGCCGAAAGAUCGGCCCGCGUCCGAUUAGCUUGUUGGUGAGGUAAUGGCUCACCAAGGCGACGAUCGGUAGCUGGUCUGAGAGGAUGAUCAGCCACACUGGGACUGAGACACGGCCCAGACUCCUACGGGAGGCAGCAGUGGGGAAUAUUGGACAAUGGGCGAAAGCCUGAUCCAGCCAUGCCGCGUGAGUGAUGAAGGCCCUAGGGUUGUAAAGCUCUUUCGCCAGGGACGAUAAUGACGGUACCUGGAUAAGAAGCCCCGGCUAACUUCGUGCCAGCAGCCGCGGUAAU